rnacentral:rRNA from 1 species
UACAUAGGGUGCAAGCGUUGUCCGGAAUUAUUGGGCGUAAGAGCUCGUAGGUCGUUUGUUACGUCGGAUGUGAAAACCUGAGGCUCAACCUCAGGCCUGCAUUCGAUACGGGCAAACUAGAGUUUGGUAGGGGAGACUGGAAUUCCUGGUGUAGCGGUGGAAUGCGCAGAUAUCAGGAGGAACACCAAUGGCGAAGGCAGGUCUCUGGGCCAAUACUGACACUGAGGAGCGGAAAGCGUGGGGAGCGAACAGG